UACGUAGGGUGCAAGCGUUAAUCGGAAUUACUGGGCGUAAAGCGUGCGCAGGCGGUUUUGUAAGUCUGUCGUGAAAGCCCCGGGCUCAACCUGGGAAUUGCGAUGGAGACUGCAAGGCUUGAAUCUGGCAGAGGGGGGUAGAAUUCCACGUGUAGCAGUGAAAUGCGUAGAGAUGUGGAGGAACACCGAUGGCGAAGGCAGCCCCCUGGGUCAAGAUUGACGCUCAUGCUCGAAAGCGUGGGGAGCAAACAGG
rnacentral:rRNA from 1 species